UGGCGGACGGGUGAGUAACGCGUGGAAAACCUGCCGUAUACUGGGGGAUAACACUUAGAAAUAGGUGCUAAUACCGCAUAAGCGCACAGCUUCGCAUGAAGCGGUGUGAAAAACUCUGGUGGUAUACGACGGUUCCGCGUCUGAUUAGCUAGUUGGUGGGGUAAUGGCCUACCAAGGCAACGAUCAGUAGCCGGCCUGAGAGGGUGAACGGCCACAUUGGGACUGAGACACGGCCCAAACUCCUACGGGAGGCAGCAG
rnacentral:rRNA from 1 species